AUGGAAUUAUUAGUUAAGCUCCACCCAGCCAACAGAGAGAGAAAAAGAGAGAAACAGAGAGAUCCUCCUGCAGUAGUCCUUAGCUAUGUUCUCUCCUUCCCCCGUCUGGAGCUGAAAAUGGGGGAAACCAUGCAGCGCCUCUGCCUCGGCAACAAGGAAAACAAGCAGACUCCUAAUGCCAAAGAAGUGCUUAUUAAAUCCCAGACAGCCUUGCAAUUGUGCUGUGCAGCCAGUCAAAAUAAGAAAUUGUUUGUUGUUGGUUUAUUCAGCCUGCCUCCCUCUUAUUCCACAUGCUUUCUUAACCUCCUCCAAAUCAGCCCGGACUUUCUGUCUUCUCUGUUUCAUUCUCCCCCUCCCUCCUCAUCCUUCUGUUUGUGAGAAACGAUGUGUGGCUGAGGCACAAACAUGGGACAUGACAGCCAAGCAGCAAAAACAUGCAGAUGUGACAGUAUGAGAGGGCCACUGGAGGGCAGAGAGAAGGAGGGAGUAUUAGGGAGAGAAAAUGACAGGCACAAACAGAAAAUCUGAUAGAACGGAGACGAGACAUUGCGGGAAAAAUAUUGUGCAGGAGGGAAAGAGAGAGAGAGAGCCUGAGGGAUGAAAUAUUUGAAAUAGUGAAGGAGGCUGUUAGUGUGGAGAGGGAGAGAGGGAGAGAGAGACAGAGAGAGAGAGAGAGAGAGAAAGAGAGAGGGAGAGGGUUGGGGUACACUGUGAACAGCAGAUUGUGGGGGCGCAUGUUGUCGAGGUGGCCCAGGUCCCUUGUGCCCUCCUGUUUCAUGGCUCUCACAGCCUGUCAGUGAAAACAGCCCAGCCAUGUAGACAGCUGUGCUCAGGAGGCUGCGGGGGCGAGAGGAGAGGAGAGGAGAGAGGAGAGAGGAAAGAGGAGAGAGGAGAGGACCUUUGUUUUUCAUUUUGCUCCUCAUCUCCAUCAAUGUACAAAUGUUUUCUCCAGGCUCACUGUAUAUUCAUUCCUCCCGAAUUUCUGGGCUGUGCCAUGUUUGUUCUAUUCAUCUGCAAAAGUACCACAAAAGAAACAAAAGCCCUGGUUGGCAUUCAACAGCCUUGACAAUAUUUACAUGUGUGUGUGUUUGUUUUUGCCAUUGUCAGUCAAGACAAACCAUGUAGUCUGAAAUGUCCCCUUUUUUUGUCUGUGCCCCAUAUUAACCCACUCCCUUGAGGCUACAGUGCCUUAUAGAGAAAUGGAUGUGUGUGUAUGUGUGUGUGUGCUGGAAUAUUAGAGGGGAGGAAAUCUGAAAUGGAAGCGUUACAUUGAGCAAUAGAUGUGCAGAACUACCACGCUGCCAUUUCCACUCCCUUGAAAUCAAUCACAGGUUUGUUCGAGUGGUUUUUAUUGGCCCUAAAAACUCCUAGCCACAGGCUAAUGGGAUAGAUUCAUCUUCACUCCCACAGACAAUACAUCUCCCAAUGUGGAGACCUAAAAGAAUAUGACAGCCUGUCAUCCACAACGUCUCUAUGCGUUAGUCCCUUUUUGUGUUCACGUCCUCUACAUCAGAGGGAUCACACAGAUCAAUGCUCUCUCCUCUUUCCUUUGAAGGGACAACUGCUGUCCCAGAGGUGCCCCCCCCCCCCCUUUCCAUACGACCCUCUCCAACCCUCAUGAAGGCCUCUGCUUACCUACCCGUCUCCCUCCACCUCCUACCCGGCUCCCCCAGCCCUUCCUGCCAUCAUGGUCUUGUUUACGAGCCUCUGCCCGGGAAGGACAGGUUAAUAGAGGACCUGGCCCAACUCAGGUCCGCCUGGUUCCCAUUCACUCCCUAAUAAGACAUUUCAUCUCCUGCCUUACUGCCUUCUCG
rnacentral:lncRNA from 15 species